AUUGAACGCUGGCGGUAUGCCUUACACAUGCAAGUCGAACGGUAGAGGGGCAACCCUUGAGAGUGGCGAACGGGUGAGUAAUACAUCGGAACGUGCCCAGUCGUGGGGGAUAACGUAGCGAAAGCUACGCUAAUACCGCAUACGACCUGAGGGUGAAAGCGGGGGAUCGCAAGACCUCGCGCGAUUGGAGCGGCCGAUGGCAGAUUAGGUAGUUGGUGGGGUAAAGGCCUACCAAGCCUGCGAUCUGUAGCUGGUCUGAGAGGACGACCAGCCACACUGGGACUGAGACACGGCCCAGACUCCUACGGGAGGCAGCAGUGGGGAAUUUUGGACAAUGGGCGAAAGCCUGAUCCAGCCAUGCCGCGUGCGGGAAGAAGGCCUUCGGGUUGUAAACCGCCUUUGUCAGGGAAGAAAUCUUCUGGGUUAAUACCUCGGGAGGAUGACGGUACCUGAAGAAUAAGCACCGGCUAACUACGUGCCAGCCGCCGCAGUAA
rnacentral:rRNA from 1 species